rnacentral:rRNA from 1 species
AGUGAACGCUGGCGGUAGGCCUAACACAUGCAAGUCGAACGGCAGCACAGUAAGAGCUUGCUCUUACGGGUGGCGAGUGGCGGACGGGUGAGGAAUACAUCGGAAUCUACUUUUUCGUGGGGGAUAACGUAGGGAAACUUACGCUAAUACCGCAUACGACCUACGGGUGAAAGCAGGGGAUCUUCGGACCUUGCGUGAUUGAAUGAGCCGAUGCCGGAGUCGCUAGUUGGCGGGGUAAAGGCCCACCAAGGCGACGAUCCGUAGCUGGGCUGAGAGGAUGAUCAGCCACACUGGAACUGAGACACGGUCCAGACUCCUACGCGAGGCAGCAGUGGGGAAUAUUGGACAAUGGGCGCAAGCCUGAUCCAGCCAUACCGCGUGGGUGAAGAAGGCCUUCGGGUUGUAAAGCCCUUUUGUUGGGAAAGAAAAGCAGCAGGUUAAUCCCCCGCUGUUCUGACGGUACCCAAAGAAUAAGCACCGGCUAACUUCGUG